GCCUGGGUGGCUUAGUUGGUUGAGUGUCUGACUCAUCUCAGGUCAUGAUCUUGUGGUUCAUGGGUUCGAGUCCCAUGUCAGGCU
rnacentral:tRNA from 1 species